rnacentral:rRNA from 1 species
AACGAACGCUGGCGGCAUGCCUAACACAUGCAAGUCGAACGAGAGCUUCGGCUCUAGUGGCGCACGGGUGCGUAACGCGUGGGAAUCUGCUCUUGGGUUCGGAAUAACAGUUGGAAACGACUGCUAAUACCGGAUGAUGACGUAAGUCCAAAGAUUUAUCGCCCUGGGAUGAGCCCGCGUCGGAUUAGCUAGUUGGUGGGGUAAAGGCCUACCAAGGCGACGAUCCGUAGCUGGUCUGAGAGGAUGAUCAGCCACACUGGGACUGAGACACGGCCCAGACUCCUACGGGAGGCAGCAGUGGGGAAUAUUGGACAAUGGGCGCAAGCCUGAUCCAGCAAUGCCGCGUGAGUGAUGAAGGCCUUAGGGUUGUAAAGCUCUUUUACCUGGGAAGAUAGUGACUGUACCGGGAGAAUAAGCCCCGGCUAACUCCGUGCCAGCCGCCGCAGUAA